UUCUCGUAUGAUAACUCUGCUCUUUUUAUUGCAGUGUGACUCAAACCAUCUUUUUAUCUUGGAGGAAACAAUAUAAAAGCAAAGAAAUAUCCCUUGACAGAAAAGCUCUGUACCACUGUUUCAACUUCAACAUACAUUCAUGCUUUGCAGUUCCACUAGUAUCUUGGCUUCCAAAAUUCUUUCAGAUGCUCUCAAGAACCUUUGAAGCAACUGCAUGGUCUCUUUAAGCAACCUUCCCACAUGAAAUUUAUUUCUCCAAUAGCCUUCCAAGUAUGAGAUGAUUAGGUGGAAUCUGAUGCUGAGAUGCUUAGAGUGGGCCCACACUACAGCUCACCAGUCCUGAGAAGCUUAAAGAGUAAUGCACCUAAAGAAUGCUUCUUCAAUGGGGUGCACCAGCAUUUCUGGAUUGCAA